rnacentral:misc_RNA from 1 species
GAUGAAGAACGUAGCGAAAUGCGAUACGUAAUGUGAAUUGCAGAAUUCAGUGAAUCAUCGAGUCUUUGAACGCACAUUGCGCCCCCUGGUAUUCCGGGGGGCAUGCCUGUCCGAGCGUCAUUGCUGCCCUCAAGCACGGCUUGUGUGUUGGGCCUCCGUCCUCCUCCCGGGGGACGGGCCCGAAAGGCAGCGGCGGCCCCGCGUCCGGUCCUCGAGCGUAUGGGGCUUCGUCACCCGCUCUUGUAGGCCCGGCCGGCGCUUGCCGACACAUCAAUCUUUUUUCCAGGUUGACCUCGGAUCAGGUAGGGAUACCCGCUGAACUUAAGCAUAUCAAUAAGCGGAGGA